rnacentral:lncRNA from 1 species
GUACCUGUCAAUCUAAAUAAGCAAAAUCCCAUACUAUGAGGCAUGCAGAAGGAUUUGGUGGUCACCCUACCAAUCACACUCCUAAAGUAUUACAAGUAACAACCCUAUUAUCCUGUCAGCAUUUACUCCAACACCUAAAAUGGCAUAGGCAGGUCCGCAAAUGGCCUUCUCUUUUCCUACUUGAUCCCCUAAACCAAAUACAUGGUUCAAAGCUUAAAGGUGGGAAGUUGCAUCGUUUAGAGAAACUUCAGUAGCCACUAUGAAUUUUAAUCUCUCUAUGUAUCUCUAUCCAGGGAGCUGUGUAUAUUAUCUUUGUAUACCUACUUCAAUAGGUUAUCAUAAUUUUAUUUGUGUGAAAAAAGUAAAAAAAACAUAAGAAAACUACCAUAUAUUGUAUCUAAAGAGCCAU